rnacentral:tRNA from 1 species
UUAAAAAUAGUUUAAAUUAAAACAUUAAUUUUGGAUAUUAAAGAAAUUUGUAUAAAAUUUUUUAAA